rnacentral:snoRNA from 19 species
GAUUGUAUGAUGAAUCAUUUACGGAUGUAAAUCACAGACCUGAUCCGAAUGCGCAAAACCGUGUGGAUCUUUUCCGUUGCCUUCCUUCUGAUCACAAU